CAGCCCUACGGGACGCAGCAGUGAGGAAUAUUGGUCAAUGUGCGAGAGCCUGAACCAGCCAAGUCGCGUGAGGGAAGACGGUCCUAUGGAUUGUAAACCUCUUUUGCCGGGGAGCAAAAAGCGGUACGUGUACCGCAUCGAGAGUACCCGGAGAAAAAGCAUCGGCUAACUCCGUGCCAGCAGCCGCGGUAAUACGGAGGAUGCGAGCGUUAUCCGGAUUUACUGGGUUUAAAGGGUGCGCAGGCGGCGAGUUAAGUCAGCGGUACAAUUUCGGGGCGCAACCCCGACGAGCCGUUGAAACUGGC
rnacentral:rRNA from 1 species